UUGAUUUUACAAACUUCAUCAGGCUGAUCCUUUUGACAAGUUCCUCAACGUGAAAAUCCUUGAGCAAGGUUGACAGAAUCGAUUCAUUUGGAUUUGGUGUUUGAUGAGGAGGAAGAUGAAAUUGUUUUUAAAUUAUUGAGCAGUGGUUGUAAAGUGCAUCUUACUGGUUACCAUGAUGGAAAUGGUAAUGGUGGAUAUCAAGAGUUAUGAAGCAGCAUCUGAAGCAAACAAGGAAAGAGAUGAUCCCAAAAUAAGGAGGAGAAGGAAGUCGAAGCCAAGAAAUACGAUGACGAAAA